CUUCAGCUUCUCUGACACGUGGAUCAGCCUCUUCUGCAGCUCUUCGAAAAUUCCUGUUUAAUUCACUAUCUGUCUGAGUUGAGUACACAAAUAUGCAGUGACCUGGUGAAGAUGUGCUCUUCUCAAAUUCCCAACCAUGAUUGUAUAACAGCUUUCAUCAGAGCUGGAACAAGAGGCCAGGAUGGCUGAACAAGAUCCAACUCUUUUCAAGGAGCUCAUCAGUCAAGACUCAACACUGCCAAUUUUAUUCUCAUUUGAGCUGCAUUUCACGAAACAGCCUUCCUCAACAGGCUUCUUUUUGGAUUUGUGUGGUGACCACUUUUAUCAACUCCACCAGCACAACUCUGUGUUGUGAAUUAUGAGAUUUUUAGUCCAACGGAUGUGAAUAGUACCAAGUAGGUGAAAGAGGCUAUACUUAUUUUUUUGACCAAUUAUUUUUUAAAUGGAAUUUCCAGUGCUAAAUAUAAGUAGCUUGUUUAUGCUCUUAACAAUGAUUGCAUUUUAAUGUUUUAAUAUCAAUUGUAAACAAGGAGGGCAUUUGAUGCUAAAUAGCUCCCUAGAAUUUAUCUUUAGCACUGGAUAGUUUAAUUUCAUUGAUUUGAGACUAAAGGCCAUGCAUUCAUUUUCCUUUAAUGGAAGUAAAAAUGGCAAAACUCUGAGAAUUUUACCCCCCCCCCCUUUUUUUUUUUU